rnacentral:rRNA from 1 species
GAUAAUGGCUCAGGAUGAACGCUAGCUACAGGCUUAACACAUGCAGGUCGAGGGGCGAGCAUGGUCUUAGCUUGCUAAGGCUGAUGGCGACCGGCGCACGGGUGAGUAACACGUAUCCAACCUGCCGUCUACUCUUGGCCAGCCUUCUGAAGGAAGAUUAAUCCAGGAUGGGAUCAUGAGUUCACAUGUCCGCAUGAUUAAAGGUAUUUUCCGGUAGACGAUGGGG